rnacentral:lncRNA from 13 species
ACAACUCUUCAUGUCUCAUAAUUCAUGGCCUUUUAACACCACAUUUGAAAGGAACCACAAUCACAAGCCUUUUGUUCCCCAGGGACCCUGCAGCUGAACACCACAGGAAGUGAGUCACUCAUAAAAUUCUCCUCAGUAAAUACAACACACACACAGGAACAAAGACUAGUCAAACAGUCCAACAAACACAGCCAGUCUGUUCUGUGGGAACAAUAGGUCUGGCUGGAUACUGGUACUGUGUAGAAUUGGGCCUCAAAGAGUUGCCUCAAAGAACAUCAAACAGACAGUUAACCCUGUCAUUGUCUUAUUUUAAUCCUCUUCUGUUUACCAGAACAUCAAACAGACAGUUAACCCUGUCAUUGUCUUAUUUUAAUCCUCUUCUGUUUACCAGAACAUCAAACAGACAGUUAACCCUGUCAUUGUCUUAUUUUAAUCCUCUUCUGUUUACCAGAACAUCAAACAGACAGUUAAUCCUGUCAUUGUCUUAUUUUAACCCUCUACUGUUUACCAGAACAUCAAACAGACAGUUAACCCUGUCAUUGUCUUAUUUUAAUCCUCUUCUGUUUACCAGAACAUCAAACAGACAGUUAACCCGGUCAUUGUCUUAUUUUAAUCCUCUUCUGUUUACCAGAACAUCAACACCAAGACAGAGAGAGACAGAGAGAGACAGACACAUUGGGAAGCCAGUAGCACAUCAAACAGAGAGUGAUACCCCUCCUCUCUCUCCACGCUCAACACAUCAAACAGAGAGUGAAGCCCCUCCUCUCUCUCCACACUCAACAAAUCAAACAGAGAGUGAUACCCCUCCUCUCUCUCCACACUCAACACAUCAAACAGAGAGUGAAGCCCCUCCUCUCUCUCCACACUCAACACAUCACACAGAGAGUGAAGCCCCUCCUCUCUCUCCACGCUCAACACAUCAAACAGAGUGAAGCCCCUCCUCUCUCUCCACGCUCAACACAUCAAACAGACUGGAACACAAACGGUCGUUUUUUACCUCAGGACAUCUCCAUAGGAGAGAGAAGUAGAUCCAUACGAGUUUGUUCUCGAAGAGGAGGAUGAAGAAAGGCAGAGGACAGAGAGGAAAUGUGGAAGGAGGUGGAGGAGGCAGAACGUUGUUGCUGUAGUCCAGUGGAGGCUGCUGGGGGGAGGACGGCUCAUAAUAAUGGAUGAAAUGGAGUGAAUGGAACGGCAUCAGACACAUGGGAAAUACAACGCGUCUGAUACCAAUCCAUUUAUUCCAUUCAAUCUAUUCAAUCUAUUCAAUCCCAUUCAAUCCC